rnacentral:snRNA from 1 species
GAAUACGAGGGCUAUUUAGCUGCAACAUUUGUCAUUGAUCGCCAGGGUUGAUUCAGCAAUCAGGCUAAGUAGGCAGGUGUCCCCUUCCUCCCUCACCACUUGGUCAAAAGAGAUGACCUUCCCUAAAUACAGGUAGACCAGUGUUGGGGCUGGGUGGUGGCACACCUGGUUGCAGUGCAUAAGGGCCCUGAUUCUCACCUGCAGGGGGAAAGUUUUAUGAGUGGUGAAGCAGUGUUGUAGCUCUCUCUCUCUGGUCCUCUCUAUCACCCCCAUCUUGAUUUCUGGCUGUCUCUGUCCAAUAAAUAAAUAACAAUAAUUAAAAAAUUAAGAGACAGGCAAGUUUUUGAUCAAGGGUAUGUGAGUAGUUAUGUUCUCCUGCUAAAACCUCCAAGCAAGCUCUGAAGGUCCAUUCUUCACACCCUUACUGCAUCCUUUGAAAUGAAAUACUUUUCCCCACUAGACGAUGUCUGCCCUG